rnacentral:piRNA from 1 species
UGGAAGACUUGGCCUGCUGUGAAUGC